ACUUGCUAGAAACUACACAAUCUCUCAGUUCCUCCUCAUAAGACAUUGUGAGGGGGUGUUAACCCGCUUUACAGAUGAAGAGGCUCAGGUUUGCGGGGGUUGAUGGCCUUGUGCACAGGCUGAGCUAACACAUGCUGGAACCAGAUUAUACAGGACAGUCUGCUCGUCUUUGUGUGGGAGGAGGGGCAGGAACCACAAGGUCACUGGGAGGACCAUCUUCAGACUGGAUGCAGUGCUAGGAAGAUCUGUGGAGCCUGACAUCACGCAGCUCUGAACUGUGAAUUGGAAAUGUUUUCCGGACAAAGAUGUGGCCGCCCCAGGCCCCACAAGUCCCGUACCCAAACCGUGGAUUUGACCAAGCAAACGCAGGGCUGAGGUCGAAAUAGAAGCAUGCAGGGGGAGGUGAUGAGGCCAGCAUUCCAGCGUCAGGUUGGAGGUGCCAUGCACACACACACACAUACACACGGAGAAGUCACAAGACACGGGGAAGGCCACACACCCGGUGCGGGUACCAGCAGCUGAGCGCUGUGGCCAGAGGGCUCACGACCAGUGGACUGAACGGAAUCCGCGUAUCUGUCCGUCUACUUUCAAAUGACCAGUUUCCAUUCAUUCUAUGCCUCACAGUUUUUUCCCUUUUAACAUUUCUGAAUAUGAGCGAUACUCAUCUUUUUUCUUCCUUAAUGGUCAGGAUAGAAUGAUGCAUCUCGAGGUGGCUGGAACCUUAGAUUUAAUUCAUUGAUAGCAGCUGAACGUGAGGCUCAGUGAUGUCACUAAGCCAACUCCCUUGUGUGGAUGAGGGGCCUCCCUCCUCCUCCGCUCGUGCUCAGGAGAACCUGAUGUGGUGAACAUCCUAGCCCUGUCCUGACCCUGCCAUGGGCACCAGACUCCUCUGCUGCGUGGCCCUCUGUCUCCUGGGGGCAGUCGAUUUCCUCCUCGCUGUUCCCAACUUUGUCUCCACAGGUCACACAGGAGCUGGUGUCCUCCAGUCCCCCCAGCACAAGGUCACAAAGAGGGACCGGGACGUGGACCUCAGGUGUGACCCAAUUUC